AAUAUUGGACAAUGGGGGCAACCAUGAUCCAGCCAUGCCGCGUGUGUGAAGAAGGUCUUCGGAUUGUAAAGCACUUUAAUUUGGGAGGAAGUGCAGUAGGUUAAUACACUGACGUUUUGACGUUACCAACAGAAUAAGCACCGGCUAACUCUGUGCCAGCAGCCGCCGUAAUACAGAGGGUGAGAGCGUUAAUAGGAAGUACUGGCGGUAAAGAGGGCGUAGGUGGUUCAGUAAGAAGGGUGUGAAAUCCCCGGGCUUAACCUGGGGACUGCUUUCAUAACUGCUGGGGUAGAGUAGGGUAGAGGGUAGUGGAAUUUCCUGUGUAGCGGUGGGAUGAGUAGAUAUAGGUAGGAACACCAGUGGCGAAGGCGACUACCUGGACUGAUACUGACACUGAGGUGCGAAAGCGUGGGGGGCAAACA
rnacentral:rRNA from 1 species